rnacentral:rRNA from 1 species
AGUUAUCUGAACCUUCGGGGAACGAUAACGGCGUCGAGCGGCGGACGGGUGAGUAAUGCCUAGGAAAUUGCCCUGAUGUGGGGGAUAACCAUUGGAAACGAUGGCUAAUACCGCAUGAUGCCUACGGGCCAAAGAGGGGGACCUUCGGGCCUCUCGCGUCAGGAUAUGCCUAGGUGGGAUUAGCUAGUUGGUGAGGUAAGGGCUCACCAAGGCGACGAUCCCUAGCUGGUCUGAGAGGAUGAUCAGCCACACUGGAACUGAGACACGGUCCAGACUCCUACGGGAGGCAGCAGUGGGGAAUAUUGCACAAUGGGCGCAAGCCUGAUGCAGCCAUGCCGCGUGUAUGAAGAAGGCCUUCGGGUUGUAAAGUACUUUCAGUCGUGAGGAAGGCGGCGUCGUUAAUAGCGGCGUUGUUUGACGUUAGCGACAGAAGAAGCACCGGCUAACUCCGUGCCAGCAGCCGCGGUAAUACGGAGGGUGCGAGCGUUAAUCGGAAUUACUGGGCGUAAAGCGCAUGCAGGUGGUUUGUUAAGUCAGAUGUGAAAGCCCGGGGCUCAACCUCGGAAUAGCAUUUGAAACUGGCAGACUAGAGUACUGUAGAGGGGGGUAGAAUUUCAGGUGUAGCGGUGAAAUGCGUAGAGAUCUGAAGGAAUACCGGUGGCGAAGGCGGCCCCCUGGACAGAUACUGACACU